CUGUUGACUGAUACAUGGCCCGUAUGUCACUACACGGCCUAGGGCCGUGUAACUUAUUGGAACUUGAAGGUUGCAUCUUAUGUCAGAGCAGAAGAUUACACGGGUCUCGGCUAUUCACAUGGGUCCAAUUACAUGACCCAUGUCCUAUUGUUCUUCCAGAUACUCUUCAAGCUUUGCCAGGCAGAAUCUUACACGGGUCUCUGCAGGUUACAUGGCCCGUGUACUAUAUUUCUUCUU
rnacentral:misc_RNA from 1 species